GGAUGUGAGAGCAAUCUGGCUGUGACAACUGGCACCCCAUUGAUCGCCAGGAUUGAUUCGGCUAUCUGGCUGGCUGGACAGGUGUCCCCUUCCUCCCUUCAUGUGUGUCCCUUCCAAAGCUGUGCACUUGGUCGAAGAGGACAACCUUCCAUGAUAGAGAUGUACUGUUCACCUGCCAAGGGUAUACGGUAGCUGCACUCCCCUGCUAGAACCUCCAAACAAGCUCAAUUCUGUGAUUUUAAUCAUGUUAGCCUUAAAUGAAGCAUUUAAACAGGCUUUUUCAGGGGAACAGU
rnacentral:sRNA from 1 species